AACGUAGGAGGCAAGCGUUAUCCGGAGUUACUGGGCGUAAAGAGCGUGUAGGCGGUUGGGUCAGUUGCGUGUGAAAGCGCCCGGCUAAACUGGGCGAGGACAGGCAAGACUGCCCGGCUAGAGGGCGAUAGAGGGGUGCGGAAUUCCGGGUGUAGCGGUGAAAUGUGUAGAGAUCCGGAGGAACACCAGUGGUGCAAACGGCGCCCUGGAUCGGACCUGACACUCAGGUGCGAAAGCGUGGGUAGCGAACGGG
rnacentral:rRNA from 1 species